AUACAAAGUAAACAAGUGUCAUACAUUUCAACGCGAUAUGAGUCGUUUUGGUGACAUUAACCCAUAAAAUGAAUCACAUCUUUGUGAAACAAUUUUGUGUAUAUUAGGGCCUACUGUGGGCAGGCUGAUUUUGCCUACCCCGAAGCCCCGUCUUUUCUCCCUAGACUCUUUCAUCGGCCUUGCGGUAGCUUCAACUGAAACGCACUGGCUUCGGUGUGUGCCUGGUUCCUGCUCCCUUGAGUUGACGAGAGCGUUCGUUGUGGGCGAGUGGGGACUUGUCUGUAAAGUUAACAGAAAAAUAAUUCAUGGCUUACUCAGUGUAAAGAGCAGCUGGAGCACGGGAAAAUAUUCACAAUUAUGACAUCAACUUUGGGGGACAAAACAUUUUAUAUGAUGACAAAUUGUGCGUGUAAUUAUACUUUUUAUAUAUUGACGUAUCAUUCAAGUGUAAAUACAAUAUUAUAAUUUGGUAUUUUAGCAUAAUAGUAAAAUCUAAUACAAGUGUGUAAUUCUAUGAUAAUAAAAUACGACUUCAUCUCAACCAAUUCAGACCUCACAUUUGAUUUUGUAAGUGUAUGAUCAUCAUCACCACCACCACCUGAAGUCCACAUAAUCAUUGUCUAAUAGAGCGUGAUCAAUGUUAUUAUAAUGUAACAAAUGUAUCAUCGCACGUUGCUGCCUGUUACUACUUUCUUUCCAAAUCCACCACCUGUUUGCCGUAUCUUGAGCACUGCUAGUGGUCAAAACAAUCCUCCCAUGUAAAUCCAACAUGGCGGCGCCCCUUAGGACAUUGUGUAGUACAGAUGGCCGGUCGGCACCCCCACUGAAAGGACAGCUGAGGAGAAAGCAGGAGAGAGAGACGUUAGCAAGACGUGUAGUGAAUCUCAGCCCUGAGGUGGAUAAAGGGAUGGAAGUGUGGAGGGAGAAACGGGAGGAAGCUAAAAGGAUCGAGGAACGCAAUAAAUCUCUUCUGCUAAAACCCAAAGGGAACCUUUUAUUGAAGAAAAAUAAAUAAGAAAUCAUAUUUUCCAUUCUAGCUGACAUGACCUAUUAACAAAAUGGUGGAGUUGGUGUAUGGCUUUGUAGUACUUAUUUUGCCCUUUUCAAUGUUUUUCAAAAAUAAACUUUAAUGUAUAUCCACAA